GUAAAACUUUAGGGGUGCGUUACGCUGAGAAAUACCCUUUGAACCUGAUGCAGUUAGUACUGCCGAAGGGAAAAGUGAAACAACUUCC
rnacentral:ncRNA from 2 species